CGUUGGGGAGGGAUAGAAGACAGAGAGAGCGUUGGGAAGGGAUAGAAGACGGAGAGAGAGCGUUGGGGAGGGAUAGAAGACAGAGAGAGAGCGUUGGGUAGGGAUAGAAGACGGAGAGAGCGCGUUGGGGAGGGAUAGAAGACAGAGAGAGCAGCGUUGGGAAGGGGGAUAGAGAGAGCGUUGGGUAGGGAUAGAAGACGGAGAGAGCGUUGGGGAGGGAUAGAAGACGGAGAGAGCGCGUUGGGUAGGGAUAGAAGACGGAGAGAGAGCGUUGGGUAGGGAUAGAAGACGGAGAGAGCGUUGGGUAGGGAUAGAAGACGGAGAGAGAGCGUUGGGUAGGGAUAGAAGACGGAGAGAGAGCGUUGGGGAGGGAUAGAAGACGGAGAGAGCGUUGGGGAGGGAUAGAAGACAGAGAGAGAGUUGGGUAGGGAGAAGACGGAGCGUUGGGUAGGGAUAGACGACAGAGAGAGCGUUGGGUAGGGAUAGAAGACAGAGAGAGCGUUGGGGAGGGAUAGAAGACAGAGAGAGCGUUGGGGAGGGAUAGAAGACAGAAAGUGAAAGAACAAAGCAUGAACAACAUGCUUUGUUCAUUCACUAUAACCUGCCUUAGACAAUGUAAAAGGCUUGGAGACUCUGG
ensembl:lncRNA